rnacentral:tRNA from 1 species
GCGUUGUCAGCUCAGCCGGACAGAGCAAUUGCCUUCUGAGCAAUCGGUCACUGGUUCGAAUCCAGUACGACGCGCCA